CGAACGGGUGAGUAACGCGUGAGGAACCUGCCUCAAAGAGGGGGACAACAGUUGGAAACGACUGCUAAUACCGCAUAAGCCCACGGGUCGGCAUCGACCUGAGGGAAAAGGAGCAAUCCGCUUUGAGAUGGCCUCGCGUCCGAUUAGCUAGUUGGUGAGUAAUGCCCACCAAGGCGACGAUCGGUAGCCGGACUGAGAGGUUGAACGGCCACAUUGGGACUGAGACACGGCCCAG
rnacentral:rRNA from 1 species